AAAACUUAGGUUCGCCUGACACAAAGUUAAAAGGCGCUUGGCGUCACCUAGAGAUGGAUCCGCGGUGCAUUAGUUAGUUGGUGGGGUAAAGGCCUACCAAGACAAUGAUGCAUAGCCGAGUUGAGAGACUGAUCGGCCACAUUGGGACUGAGACACGGCCCAAACUCCUACGGGAGGCUGCAGUAGGGAAUCUUCCACAAUGGGCGAAAGCCUGAUGGAGCAACGCCGCGUGUGUGAUGAAGGCUUUCGGGUCGUAAAGCACUGUUGUAUGGGAAGAACAGCUAGAAUAGGAAAUGAUUUUAGUUUGACGGUACCAUACCAGAAAGGGACGGCUAAAUACGUGCCAGCAGCCGCGGUAAUACGUAUGUCCCGAGCGUUAUCCGGAUUUAUUGGGCGUAAAGCGAGCGCAGACGGUUUAUUAAGUCUGAUGUGAAAGCCCGGAGCUCAACUCCGGAAUGGCAUUGGAAACUGGUUAACUUGAGUGCAGUAGAGGUAAGUGGAACUCCAUGUGUAGCGGUGGAAUGCGUAGAUAUAUGGAAGAACACCAGUGGCGAAGGCGGCUUACUGGACUGCAACUGACGUUGAGGCUCGAAAGUGUGGGUAGCAAACAGGAUUAGAUACCCUGGUAGUCCACACCGUAAACGAUGAACACUAGGUGUUAGGAGGUUUCCGCCUCUUAGUGCCGAAGCUAACGCAUUAAGUGUUCCGCCUGGGGAGUACGACCGCAAGGUUGAAACUCAAAGGAAUUGACGGGGACCCGCACAAGCGGUGGAGCAUGUGGUUUAAUUCGAAGCAACGCGAAGAACCUUACCAGGUCUUGACAUCCUUUGAAGCUUUUAGAGAUAGAAGUGUUCUCUUCGGAGACAAAGUGACAGGUGGUGCAUGGUCGUCGUCAGCUCGUGUCGUGAGAUGUUGGGUUAAGUCCCGCAACGAGCGCAACCCUUAUUGUUAGUUGCCAGCAUUCAGAUGGGCACUCUAGCGAGACUGCCGGUGACAAACCGGAGGAAGGCGGGGACGACGUCAGAUCAUCAUGCCCCUUAUGACCUGGGCUACACACGUGCUACAAUGGCGUAUACAACGAGUUGCCAACCCGCGAGGGUGAGCUAAUCUCUUAAAGUACGUCUCAGUUCGGAUUGUAGUCUGCAACUCGACUACAUGAAGUCGGAAUCGCUAGUA
rnacentral:rRNA from 1 species